ncrna:Anolis carolinensis (green anole) microRNA aca-mir-457 precursor
GCCGGUCCCGCUCCAGCAGCACUUCAAUAUUGGCAGUGUCCACCCCCUCCGGCCGCCAGUAUUGCCUGUGCUGCUCCAGGGGGGCUCGG